GUGAGCAUAUCUUGAGUGACACUACAAGGCAUUCUAGCUUGUAAAGUCUUACAAAAUUAGAUGUCUCAAUAUCAGCUAUUUAAACCAUGUAGAUUGGUAGAAGGGAGCACAGUCCAAGAAUUUUAUUUUUCUUCUAUUCAGUAUGCUCUAGAGACUACACUAUUGCUUUUUUUUUCUGUCACAAAUAUGUGCUGACAUCUUUCUGCAAUCUCAGUUAGGGAAAAGUUACAAGUUAACAAAGAUGUGCUGACAUGUAGAUUGAUAGAAUAUAUACUUUCAUGGAUAUAUGACCUGUUUCCUUUGAUUGUCAGUACCUUUCUAAUUACUUGUCCUCUGCAAGUAAAAGUUGCAGUGAAUAUCAGUUUCAGAGAAUGUUAGCCCUCUGAACAGGUUUACAAAGGGAUUAUGGAUUGUGUCAAAACAAUAUACAGACAAAAUGGAUUGAAAGGUAUAUACCGUGGCAUGUGUAUGCAUAUAUUAUAUUUCUCUAUCUUCUAAAGGCCAGUUUCUAAUACACUCGCAUUUUAGAUUGCAUACACACUAUCUUCUAACUAUUUUUUAUCAAGGCCUGUUGUUUUUUGUUGUGUGAUCAUUCUUUACUAGUAUUUUAGAUUGCAUACACAACAGCGUAUUUUCAUUUCCUUUCUGUGCUCGUACCAAAAAAUAAAGUGCCUCAGGUGUAUAUUGAUUGAUAUAUAGUUAUGACUUAAGUUCUGCAUACAUAAUGCUUGUCUCAUUUUUUUAAAAGUUAGUAAAGCAAAAAUGCUGAGUUUAAUGUCAAAACAUACACCUUACACACUCUCAUUCACAGGUGCUGCAAUGCUCCUUUCUGCUUUAACAUUCUUAAGGCAUUGUAGUAUAUAUCAUUCUUUUUUGGAGCUGCAUCACCUUAUAGCUAUCAUGAGAUCUUACACUCUUUUCAUGUAUAACUACAAAGACCAUUAUCUUUUCCACCCUAUUACAGUAUAUUAGUCAUAUUAGGAUUGAUACUAAAGUCUGAACAUUAUCUCCUUUUCAUUAUCUUACAUUCUGCUGUUGUAAUGUCUGCACAUUAUUGUCAAAUCCUAUUUUCUACUGCUAAUCAAUUUGUUGCUCUUGGUCAAUGUAGGAGUGCUGCAUUUGCCUCAGCCUAUGAUAUGCAGAUUUCCAUGACUUCUGUCUGUUAUUCAAUUAUCAAAGUACAAAAAUACAAUAGGAUGGAGUUAGCACAAACUGUCAUCCUUUAUAUCACAACAGUUGAACUUCAAGGUUAACUUCAGUUACCUAUUGUUUGAGUUAAGAAUUAUUUGAGCUAUUUACAAGUUCAUAAAACUAGUUGGGAGUCAGAGAUACAAUGAGUUGUAUAUAGAAUUUUAAGCACUAUGAUAUAUUAUAAGUUCUCUUAGAUCUGCAAAGAUGUAUAUGUACUGUAGUAGUCAUUUUUAUGGAAAUAACUUGAUGGAUGGCAAUGUGAUAUGUAUGUACAAAUUGUAGGCAAUGUGAACUGAGAAAUCUUGUAUGCAGUUCUGGAUG